UUUUUCGCCUCGCUUCGGCUUUGCCAAUGGGCCAGUAGCUUUAGAAUUUGUACUAGAAAUUAGUUUUUUCUAAUACGAAGAACUUGCUGUUCUAUUAUUUUCUUCUCACAUUCUAAGUAGCCUUAUGUCAUUGUCGUGAGUUACAUUAAGAUCUGACGACGCAUUUCACCAAAGUAUUUGACUGCUUCGAAAUAUGGACGAACAACUAACAAGCAAUCAUCGAAGGCAAACCCAAGCAGAUUUUCGUGUACCUUUGACUUCUUCUACAGAGUUUUAAGACUUGGUGUAGUUUAUGGCUUUAUUUUUCGUGGAGUCUUACUGUCUUGUGUUCAAACAGUAGAUCCAGGUGGUCCUAUUGAAACAAUUAGUAAAGUUUUUCACUUUCAUGGAUUGGGAGGAAUGGGUUUAUGGCAACACCUUGUUCAAAAU